ACAUGCAAGUCGAGGGGCAGCACGGUGUAGCAAUACACUGGUGGCGACCGGCGCACGGGUGCGUAACGCGUAUGCAACCUACCUUUAACAGGGGGAUAACCGGGAGAAAUUCCGACUAAUACCGCAUACGUCCUCCGGGGGCAUCCCCGGGGGAUGAAAGAGUUAUCGGUGAAGGAUGGGCAUGCGUGAUAUUAGGUAGUUGGCGGGGCAACGGCCCACCAAGCCUACGAUAUCUAGGGGUUCUGAGAGGAAGGUCCCCACAUUGGUACUGAGACACGGACCAAACUCC
rnacentral:rRNA from 1 species